GACGAACGCUGGCGGCGUGCUUAACACAUGCAAGUCGAACGGAAAGGCCCUGCUUGCAGGGUACUCGAGUGGCGAACGGGUGAGUAACACGUGGGUGAUCUGCCCUGCACUUCGGGAUAAGCCUGGGAAACUGGGUCUAAUACCGGAUAGGAGCCAUUUUUAGUGUGAUGGUUGGAAAGUUUUUUCGGUGUAGGAUGAGCUCGCGGCCUAUCAGCUUGUUGGUGGGGUAAUGGCCUACCAAGGCGGCGACGGGUAGCCGGCCUGAGAGGGUGGACGGCCACAUUGGGACUGAGAUACGGCCCAGACUCCUACGGGAGGCAGCAGGGGGGAAUAUUGCACAAUGGGCGCAAGCCUGAUGCAGCGACGCCGCGGGGGGGAUGACGGCCUUCGGGUUGUAAACUCCUUUCGCUAGGGACGAAGCUUUUUGUGACGGUACCUAGAUAAGAAGCACCGGCUAACUACGUG
rnacentral:rRNA from 1 species